rnacentral:lncRNA from 1 species
AUGGCGGAACAUUGGGAAGCUGCACCCCGUCACAUGAUGCGUCUGGACAUCCGUUCCCUGCUACAAGAUGCUGCAAUUGAAGAAGUAGAGAUGGAAGAUUUUGAUGCAAACAUUGAAGACCAGAAGGAAGAAAAGAAAGAUGCAGAAGAAGAGGAAAGCGAACUGACAAGUUGGAUGGCUUGAGGACUGGUACUAAAAGGAAACGAGACUGGGAGGCAAUCGCCAGCAGAAUGGAGGACUACCUUCAGCUCCCUGAUGACUACGAAACUCGCGCUUCUGAACCUGGGAAGAAGAGGGUGAGAUGGGCAGACCUGGAAGAAAAGAAGGACGCAGACAGGAAAAGGGCCAUAGGUUUUGUGGUCGGGCAGACUGACUGGGAGAAGAUCACAGAUGAGAGCGGCCACCUGGCUGAGAGAGCCCUCAACCGGACCAAAUACAUAUGAGCCUUGGUUUGAAUGGAGUCACUCCUCUAAGCUGAUUCGAUUUGAGGUGACCUGAAGCCAAGACCUCCUGAAGCUUCUUUGUCAGGAAGCUUCUUGUGUCUCCACGUUUCAAUCUUGUUUUACCACUUUCAUUUUUAAAAGUUCUCCAGUGUCCCCAAGAAAAUUUAGAAUCUUGCUCUACCCAAGCAAGACACUGUUAAUAUUUUUUUUAACUGAUCUGGGGAGGGAGGGUCAGCUUAAGUGCUGAAGUCAGGUGUGGAUCCACAGGACUCCCAACAAGAUUCCCUCCUCUGCACCUGUCACAGACUAUCAUCAUUGCUUGGUGGCCGUUUUGUUUUUUACUGUAUGUAACUAGUAGCUGAUUGUACUUGGAUUAAAAACAAUAAACUUUCACUAUAAAGCC